rnacentral:rRNA from 1 species
AACGAACGCUGGCGGCAGGCCUAACACAUGCAAGUCGAACGCCAGCGGGGGGGAAGCUUGCUUUUCCUGCCGGCGAGUGGCGAACGGGUGAGUAAUACAUCGGAACGUGCCCUGUAGUGGGGGAUAACUAGUCGAAAGAUUAGCUAAUACCGCAUACGACCUGAGGGUGAAAGUGGGGGACCGCAAGGCCUCAUGCUAUAGGAGCGGCCGAUGUCUGAUUAGCUAGUUGGUGGGGUAAAGGCCUACCAAGGCGACGAUCAGUAGCUGGUCUGAGAGGACGAUCGGCCACCCUGGGACUGAGACACGGCCCAGGCUCCUACGGGAGGCAGCAGUGGGGAAUUUUGGACAAUGGGCGAAAGCCUGAUCCAGCAAUGCCGCGUGUGUGAAGAAGGCCUUCGGGUUGUAAAGCACUUUUGUCCGGAAAGAAAUGGCUCUGGUUAAUACCUGGGGUCGAUGACGGUACCGGAAGAAUAAGGACCGGCUAACUACGUGCCAGCCGCCGCCGUAA